CAAAACUUUCAACAACGGAUCUCUUGGCUCUGGCAUCGAUGAAGAACGCAGCGAAACGCGAUAAGUAAUGUGAAUUGCAAAAUCCAGUGAAUCAUCGAAUCUUUGAACGCACAUUGCGCCCGCCAGCAUUCUGGCGGGCAUGCCUGUUCGAGC
rnacentral:rRNA from 1 species